rfam:Gorilla gorilla gorilla genomic chromosome, chr5, whole genome shotgun sequence
GCUGGGCGUGGUGGCACGCGCCUGUAAUCCCAGCUACUUGGGAGGCUGAGGCAGGAGAAUCGUUUGAACCCAGGAGACGGAGGCUGCAGUGAGCGGACAUUGCAUCACUGUACUCCAGCCUGGGUGACAGAGUGAGACCCUGUCUCAA